CGGCCAUGUACUUAGACACAAGCCGCCCCAAGUCCGUCCCCAGCAAAACACUGGCAGGGAUAUUUGAGGAUACCCCCACUUCCCUUACUCCUCGACCAGCGCCCCAGUCCAAAUGGACCUUGGUGACGGGCAGGGCCGGGCUUUGAAGCAUG